rnacentral:snRNA from 1 species
AUAAAGAUUGGGUAUAGACAUGAUCCUGGAGGUGGUUUUCCCAGGACGAGGCUUAUCCAUGGNACUCCGGAUAUGCUGACCCAUGUGAUUUCCCCAAAUACAGGAAACCUGACUGCAUAAUUUGUGGUAGUGGGGGGACUGCAUUCAUGCUCUCCCAUG